rnacentral:snRNA from 1 species
AUCCGGUUGCGGUUCAAGUUCUU